rnacentral:rRNA from 1 species
UACCAGCACCCCGAGUGGUCGGGACGAUUAUUGGGCCUAAAGCAUCCGUAGCCGGUUUUACAAGUCCCCCGUUAAAUCCAGCUGCUCAACAGAUGGGCCGCGGAGGAUACUCCAGAGCUAGGAGGCAGGAGAGGCAAGCGGUACUCAGUGGGUAGGGGUAAAAUCCGUUGAUCCAUUGAAGACCACCAGUGGCGAAGGCGGCUUGCCAGAAUGCGCUCGACGGUGAGGGAUGAAAGCUGGGGGAGCAAACCGG